GUGGGGAAUAUUGGACAAUGGGCGCAAGCCUGAUCCAGCAAUGCCGCGUGGGUGAAGAAGGUCUUCGGAUCGUAAAGCCCUUUCGACAGGGACGAUGAUGACGGUACCUGUAGAAGAAGCCCCGGCUAACUUCGUGCCAGCAGCCGCGGUAAUACGAGGGGGCUAGCGUUACUCGGAAUUACUGGGCGUAAAGGGCGCGUAGGCGGCUCUGUUAGUCAGGCGUGAAAUUCCUGGGCUUAACCUGGGGACUGCGCUUGAUACUGCAGGGCUUGAGGCCGAGAGAGGGUGGUGGAAUUCCCAGUGUAGAGGUGAAAUUCGUAGAUAUUGGGAAGAACACCGGUGGCGAAGGCGACCACCUGGCUCGGUUCUGACGCUGAGGCGCGACAGCGUGGGGAGCAAACAGGAUUAGAUACCCCUGUAGUCC
rnacentral:rRNA from 1 species